CAUUCACGGAGAGUUUGAUCCUGGCUCAGGACGAACGCUGGCGGCGUGCUUAACACAUGCAAGUCGAACGAUGAACCACUUCGGUGGGGAUUAGUGGCGAACGGGUGAGUAACACGUGGGCAAUCUGCCCUUCACUCUGGGACAAGCCCUGGAAACGGGGUCUAAUACCGGAUAACACCUUCCCUCUCCUGAGGGAGGGUUAAAAGCUCCGGCGGUGAAGGAUGAGCCCGCGGCC
rnacentral:rRNA from 1 species